ACGUCUAUAGCUUAAUUGGAGAAAGCAUCGGACUUCGAAUCCGAUUACUAUAGGUUCAAAUCCUAUUAGACGUU
rnacentral:tRNA from 1 species